GUCCAUUAUUAAAUAAGAAAUCUCGAACAGCAAGAGAAAAGGAUCCUCUUUCUCUAGAUGAAGAUAGUGAACCAGAGAUUCCUGAUGACUAUGAAGACAGUUAUUCUGAAAAAGAGACUCGUUCAAGACCAACCACUCCAAUAGAUAAU